rnacentral:rRNA from 1 species
GCAACUCGACUACAUGAAGCUGGAAUCGCUAGUAAUCGCGAAUCAGAAUGUCGCGGUGAAUACGUUCCCGGGUCUUGUACACGCCGCCCGUCACACCAUGGGAGUCAGUAACGCCCGAAGUCAGUGACCCAACCUUUUAGGAGGGAGCUGCCGAAGGUGGGACCGAUAACUGGGGUGAAGUCGUAACAAGGUACC